rnacentral:rRNA from 1 species
CAGUAGCCGCGGUAAUGCGAAGGGUGCAAGCGUUAAUCGGAAUUACUGGGCGUAAAGCGUGCGUAGGCGGUGAGUUAAGUCUGCUGUGAAAUCCCCGGGCUCAACCUGGGAAUGGCAGUGGAUACUGGCUCGCUAGUGUGUGUCAGAGGAUGGUGGAAUUCCCGGUGUAGCGGUGAAAUGCGUAGAGAUCGGGAGGAACAUCAGUGGCGAAGGCGGCCAUCUGGGACAACACUGACGCUGAGGCACGAAAGCGUGGGGAGCAAACAGGAUUAGAUACCCGCGUAGUCCCUGUCUCUUAUCC